rnacentral:rRNA from 1 species
CAGUCGCCGCGGGAAUACAGAGGGUGCAAGCGUUAAUCGGAUUUACUGGGCGUAAAGCGUGCGUAGGUGGCUGUUUAAGUCGGAUGUGAAAGCCCUGGGCUUAACCUUGGAACUGCAUUCGAUACUGGAUAGCUAGAGAUCGGUAGAGGGCAGCGGAAUUCCGGGUGUAGCGGUGAAAUGCGUAGAUAUCCGGAGGAACACCGAUGGCGAAGGCAACUGCCUGGGCCUGAUCUGACACUGAGGCACGAAAGCGUGGGUAGCAAACAGGAUUAGAUACCCCCGUAGUCCCUGUCUCUUAUAA